rnacentral:rRNA from 1 species
UACGUAGGGGGCAAGCGUUGUCCGGAAUCAUUGGGCGUAAAGAGCGUGUAGGCGGCCCGGUAAGUCCGCUGUGAAAGUCCAGGGCUCAACCCUGGGAUGCCGGUGGAUACUGUCGGGCUCGAGUCCGGAAGAGGAGUGUGGAAUUCCUGGUGUAGCGGUGAAAUGCGCAGAUAUCAGGAGGAACACCAAUGGCGAAGGCAGCACUCUGGGACGUGACUGACGUUGAGACGCGAAAGCGUGGGGAGCAAACAGG